rnacentral:lncRNA from 1 species
GGUUUGGUUCCAGCCAGCUGUGAAACUGACAAGGGAGCGGGAAGGGGGGGGGGCUCGCUCCCUGUCUGGGGAGGAGGCUGCGACCAGGCGUGCGAGCCCAAGUGUGUUUAAAAAGCAAUGAGCCACUCCCCCCUCCCCCCGCGCCACUCUCUUCCCUCGCCAGCCUGUUAGCUCUGCUCCCGGCUGUCUGCGAGUCUAGCGCGCAGCGAGCCCAGCGCUGGCCUGGGAGCGAGGGGCACCGCCAGAGGAGCGGGCAGGGGAGCAGAGGGGGCGUAGGCGGCUUCUGUUGUAGGGCGUGCAGCCCGAAAUAAAACAAAACCAGGUCAGUGAGCUUCUUUCACACCCGUCUUCUUCUUUCAGCCGGUGUGUCCGAUGGAGCCUUUUAAAGCAGCCGCCAGCUAGUGGUUUCAGAGAGGACCCCAGUAACUCACGGCAUGGCUGGUUAUACAGUGUGUGUGCGUGUUGACAAGCGGAGUUGCAAAGGAGGGUGCGGGGAAUCUUUCGUCCUGCUCAUCAGCGGGCGGAACUAGGUCGGGCUGCUCGUGUGUCGGGGUUGUGGGGUGACGAUGGGGCUGGUGAGUGCCGGCUCUGGCAUGGGGUGACAGCCAUCUGGCUGAGUCGGUGGUGUCCUCAGAUGCCUCCUUGAGCCCGGGCUGAAGCCAGCCCCUCCGCCCACCACCCUCCCCCUUGUCUCUAGCAGCACGGGGGGCUGCAUUUCCUUCCUGCCCCCGGGCCUUCCCUAAAGAAAUAGUUUCUUCACCGAGGGGUUGUUAUCUCCAGCCCGCUGGGCUUUCUAUCUCCAGCCCUUUCUCCCGAGGAGGGGCUUCCAGGAGGAGGAGAAGAGACAGCUGUUUAGGGCUUUUCAUCUGGCCGAUUCUGCUUGACAGGGGUGAAAUGAUCGCUGGAAGGGCAAGGCAGAACAAAGCUCUGUCACAACUGUGCUUCCUGGUUGUCGCCUCCUGCCUGCAAACCACUGAACAUUUUCCACUUGAUAUCGUCAUGCAGAAAGGGAGAAACGAGACGCAAUGAGAGAUUCAGUGAAUAAGAAAUGAGGAUAGCUAUUGCAUUAGGAUUAUUUCACUUCAUGCAAAUAUUCAGAUGUCCCAACAUGCAAUUGACUGAUGGUGUUAGCAUCCCUGUUGAUUGGCAAUGGAGUGUGGCACCUGCCUGAAGGAGAAAUGCAAAGUGAGAUCAUCUUCAAUUUUGAAUGGAUUUCCGUGACUUUUAUAUUCUUCUUUUAUAUGUGAAAUUUAAAAGGAAAGUUGACAUAUGCCAUACUUACAGCCAAGCUCUUUGCUCCAGGACUGAUGGUUCUCAGUAUUUGUUAUGGAUGUAGCUGGUUAAAAUUUUUCAGAUGAAAUUGGCCUUUUCUGAAAAUGAAAACUUCAUAUUCCCCCCCCCCCAAUUUUUUAGUUGAAAUUUGCCAUUUGUUAAACAAAAAGUAAAACACUUUUGUUUUAUUUUUUCCUGCUCUUUCUACCCCCUU